UGGGGAAUUUUGCACAAUGGGGGAAACCCUGAUGCAGCGACGCCGCGUGAUUUAGAAGGCCUUCGGGUUGUAAAAAUCUUUUGUAUGGGAAGAAAAUGACAGUACCAUAUGAAUAAGGACCGGCUAAUUCCGUGCCAGCAGCCGCGGUAAUACGGAAGGUUCGGGCGUUAUCCGGAUUUAUUGGGUUUAAAGGGAGCGUAGGCCGUUUGGUAAGCGUGUUGUGAAAUGUAGGAGCUCAACUUCUAGAUUGCAGCGCGAACUGUCAGACUUGAGUGCGCACAACGUAGGCGGAAUUCAUGGUGUAGCGGUGAAAUGCUUAGAUAUCAUGAAGAACUCCGAUUGCGAAGGCAGCUUACGGGAGCGCAACUGACGCUGAAGCUCGAAGGUGCGGGUAUCGAACAGG
rnacentral:rRNA from 1 species